GAUGAACGCUGGCGGCGUGCCUAAUACAUGCAAGUCGAGCGAACAGACGAGGAGCUUGCUCCUCUGACGUUAGCGGCGGACGGGUGAGUAACACGUGGAUAACCUACCUAUAAGACUGGGAUAACUUCGGGAAACCGGAGCUAAUACCGGAUAAUAUAUUGAGCCGCAUGGUUCAAUAGUGAAAGACGGUUUUGCUGUCACUUAUAGAUGGAUCCGCGCCGCAUUAGCUAGUUGGUAAGGUAACGGCUUACCAAGGCAACGAUGCGUAGCCGACCUGAGAGGGUGAUCGGCCACACUGGAACUGAGACACGGUCCAGACUCCUACGGGAGGCAGCAGUAGGGAAUCUUCCGCAAAGGGCGAAAGCUUGACGGAGCAACGCCGCGUGAGUGAUGAAGGUCUUCGGAUCGUAAAACUCUGUUAUUAGGGAAGAACAAAUGUGUAAGUAACUAUGCACGUCUUGACGGUACCUAAUCAGAAAGCCACGGCUAACUACGUG
rnacentral:rRNA from 1 species